rnacentral:rRNA from 1 species
UGGGGAAUUUUGGACAAUGGGCGAAAGCCUGAUCCAGCAAUGCCGCGUGUGUGAAGAAGGCCUUCGGGUUGUAAAGCACUUUUGUCCGGAAAGAAAUCCUUGGCUCUAAUACAGUCGGGGGAUGACGGUACCGGAAGAAUAAGCACCGGCUAACUACGUGCCAGCAGCCGCGGUAAUACGUAGGGUGCAAGCGUUAAUCGGAAUUACUGGGCGUAAAGCGUGCGCAGGCGGUUUGCUAAGACCGAUGUGAAAUCCCCGGGCUCAACCUGGGAACUGCAUUGGUGACUGGCAGGCUAGAGUAUGGCAGAGGGGGGUAGAAUUCCACGUGUAGCAGUGAAAUGCGUAGAGAUGUGGAGGAAUACCGAUGGCGAAGGCAGCCCCCUGGGCCAAUACUGACGCUCAUGCACGAAAGCGUGGGGAGCAAACAGGAUUAGAUACCCUGGUAGUCCACGCCCUAAACGAUGUCAACUAGUUGUUGGGGACUUCAUUUCCUUAGUAACGUAGCUAACGCGUGAAGUUGACCGCCUGGGGAGUACGGUCGCAAGAUUAAAACUCAAAGGAAUUGACGGGGUCAUAGCUG